GUGUCUUAAGGGCAUUCGGUGGAUGCCUUGGCGCUGAGAGGCGAUGAAGGACGUGGUACGCUGCGAUAAGUCUUGGGGAGCCGCGAACAGGCUUUGAUCCGAGAAUUUCCGAAUGGGGAAACCCACCUUCGACAAUUUGUAUUCUGACGGCGUUGCUCGAGAAAUCGGGUGGCGUUGUUUGGCUACAAAUUGUCAGAUGAAGGUAUUUUAUCCUGAAUACAUAGGGAUAAAAAGCGAACCCGGGGAACUGAAACAUCUAAGUACCCGGAGGAAAGGACAUCAACAGAGACUCCGUUAGUAGUGGCGAGCGAACGCGGACCAGGCCAGUGCCUUUGUGUGUUUAACCAGAACCGUCUGGAAAGUCGGGCAUGACGGGUGACAGCCCCGUAUGGAUAAAGGCGCACAAAGGACAUGAGUAGGGCGGGACACGUGAAAUCCUGUCUGAACUUGGGAGGACCACCUUCCAAGCCUAAGUACUCCUCAGCGACCGAUAGCGAACAAGUACCGUGAGGGAAAGGUGAAAAGCACCCCGACGAGGGGAGUGAAAGAGUUCCUGAAACCGGAUGCCUACAAACAGUUGGAGCCCAAGGUUCGUCCUGGGUGACAGCGUACCUUUUGUAUAAUGGGUCAGCGACUUAGUCUGUCGAGCAAGCUUAAGCCGUUAGGUGUAGGCGCAGCGAAAGCGAGUCUGAACAGGGCGUUCAGUUCGACGGAUUAGACCCGAAACCGAGUGAUCUAGCCAUGAGCAGGUUGAAGAUGCAGUAACAUGCAUUGGAGGACCGAACCGGUGCCCGUUGAAAAGGUCUCGGAUGACUUGUGGCUAGGGGUGAAAGGCCAAGCAAACUCGGAAAUAGCUGGUUCUCCGCGAAAUCUAUUUAGGUAGAGCGUCGGAUGAAUACUCCCGGGGGUAGAGCACUGGAUGGGCUAGGGCCUCCCACAGAGGUACCAAACCUAACCAAACUCCGAAUACCGGGAAGUACUAUCCGGCAGACACACGGCGGGUGCUAACGUCCGUCGUGGAGAGGGAAACAACCCUGACCACCGUCUAAGGCCCCCAAGUCUUGGCUAAGUGUGAAAGGAUGUGAGAAUCCCAAAACAACCAGGAGGUUGGCUUAGAAGCAGCCAUCCUUUAAAGAAAGCGUAACAGCUCACUGGUCUAAACAAGGGUUCUUGCGCCGAAAAUGUAACGGGGCUUAAGCCAAGCGCCGAAGACGUGGGUGUGCACCGCAAGGUGUACGCGGUAGCGGAGCGUUCCGUAGGCUGAUGAAGGAGGACCCGUGAGGGCCUCUGGAGGUAUCGGAAGUGCGAAUGCUGACAUGAGUAACGAAUAGGAGUGUGAGAGACACUCCCGCCGAAAGUCCAAGGGUUCCUACGUAAAGCUAAUCUGCGUAGGGUUAGUCGGCCCCUAAGGCGAGGGCGAAAGCCGUAGUCGAUGGGAAUCAGGUGAACAUUCCUGAACCAGUGGGUAGUGACGGAUGUCGUAAGUUGUCGGAGAUUAUUGGAUUUCGAUGGCAGCGAAGAUGUCCCAGGAAAUAGCUCCCACAUCAGACCGUACCCGAAACCGACACAGGUGGACAGGUAGAGUAUACCAAGGCGCUUGAGAGAACUAUGCUGAAGGAACUCGGCAAUUUACCUCCGUAACUUCGGGAUAAGGAGGCCCUUUGUCCAGGCAACUGGGCCGAGGGGGCACAGACCAGGGGGUGGCGACUGUUUAGCAAAAACACAGGGCUCUGCGAAGUCGCAAGACGACGUAUAGGGUCUGACGCCUGCCCGGUGCCGGAAGGUUAAAAGGAGGGGUGCAAGCUCCGAAUUGAAGCCCCGGUAAACGGCGGCCGUAACUAUAACGGUCCUAAGGUAGCGAAAUUCCUUGUCGGGUAAGUUCCGACCUGCACGAAUGGCGUAACGACUUCCCCGCUGUCUCCAGCAUAGACUCAGUGAAAUUGAAUUCCCCGUGAAGAUGCGGGGUUCCUGCGGUCAGACGGAAAGACCCCGUGCACCUUUACUGUAGCUUUGCGCUGGCAUUUGUGUCGGCAUGUGUAGGAUAGGUGGUAGACGUCGAAGCGAGGGCGCCAGCUCUCGUGGAGUCACCCUUGAAAUACCACCCUUACUGUCACGAAUGUCUAACCGCGGCCCGUUAUCCGGGUCCGAGACAGCGCAUGGCAGGCAGUUUGACUGGGGCGGUCGCCUCCCAAAGAGUAACGGAGGCGUGCGAAGGUAGGCUCAGAGCGGUCGGAAAUCGCUCGUUGAGUGCAAUGGCAUAAGCCUGCCUGACUGCGAGACUGACACGUCGAGCAGAGUCGAAAGACGGCCAUAGUGAUCCGGUGGUCCCGCGUGGAAGGGCCAUCGCUCAACGGAUAAAAGGUACGCCGGGGAUAACAGGCUGAUGAUUCCCAAGAGUCCAUAUCGACGGAAUCGUUUGGCACCUCGAUGUCGGCUCAUCACAUCCUGGGGCUGAAGUUGGUCCCAAGGGUUCGGCUGUUCGCCGAUUAAAGUGGUACGUGAGCUGGGUUCAGAACGUCGUGAGACAGUUCGGUCCCUAUCUGCCGUGGGUGUCGGAGACUUGAGAGGAUUUGUCCCUAGUACGAGAGGACCGGGAUGAACACACCUCUGGUGGACCUGUUGUGGCGCCAGCCGCAUUGCAGGGUAGCUAUGUGUGGACGGGAUAACCGCUGAAAGCAUCUAAGCGGGAAACCCACCUCAAAACGAGGUCUCCCUUGAGAGCCGUGGAAGACCACCACGUUGAUAGGCCGGGUGUGGAAGCGCAGCAAUGCGUGAAGCUUACCGGUACUAAUUGCUCGAUUGGCUUGAUCG
rnacentral:rRNA from 1 species